CGUCCACAGAGGGUGAGGCUGCUGUGCCCUUCAGCCACUGUGUGGUGGGGCACCCUCGGGAGAGGAACAAGGACCCAGGAACUGGCUCGUGUAAUUGUGAAGUCUUGGGAAGUCCAAGAUCCGACGGAGGCCGGCAGGCAGCAGAUGCCGGGGAGAGUUGCCGCUGAGUCCGGAGGCUGUCUGCUGGGGAGCCAGGAAGAGCCGAGCUGCUUGGGAAAUCCUAAAGCCUUCUGCUGGAAAUUGCCUCUUGUUCAGAUAGGCCAAAUAUUUGUUCUAUUCCAUCCUUUGACUGAUUGGAUGUGGCCCACCCACAUUUGGAAGAGCAGUCUGCUUUACUCCAAGUCCACUGAUUUUUGCUUUCAUCCAAAAGCACCCUCACAGACAUAUACAGAAUAAUAUUUAGCCAACUAGCUGGGCACUAUGUCCCAGCCAGGUCGACAAAUAAAAUCAACAAUCAUGGUUGGUUGUAAUAAAACUAUAGAAGAGUUUAUAUGCUAUUAUGGGGAGAUGGGAUUUUAUCCUCUAUUCAGUUGAAAGACAUUAAAAAAAAUUUUAUUUUAAA